CGGGGGAGGCCGGAUCCCGGGCUGUGUCCCGGCGCCCUGUGCUCCGGAGCCUGCGCUGGUGGAUUCGCGCUCCCGGCCGUGCAGCCCCCU
rnacentral:pre_miRNA from 1 species